UAGGGAAUCUUGCGCAAUGGGCGAAAGCCUGACGCAGCCAUGCCGCGUGAAUGAUGAAGGUCUUAGGAUUGUAAAAUUCUUUCACCGGGGACGAUAAUGACGGUACCCGGAGAAGAAGCCCCGGCUAACUUCGUGCCAGCAGCCGCGGUAAUACGAAGGGGGCUAGCGUUGCUCGGAAUUACUGGGCGUAAAGGGCGCGUAGGCGGACAGUUUAGUCAGAGGUGAAAGCCCAGGGCUCAACCUUGGAAUUGCCUUUGAUACUGGCUGUCUUGAGUGCGGGAGAGGUGUGUGGAACUCCGAGUGUAGAGGUGAAAUUCGUAGAUAUUCGGAAGAACACCAGUGGCGAAGGCGACACACUGGCCCGUUACUGACGCUGAGGCGCGAAAGCGUGGGGAGCAAACAGGAUUAGAUACCCUGGUAGUCCACGCCGUAAACGAUAAUGCUAGUUGUCGGCAUGCAUGCAUGUCGGUGACGCAGCUAACGCAUUAAGCAUUCCGCCUGGGGGAGUACGGUCGCAAGAUUAAAAACUCAAAGGAAUUGACGGGAUC
rnacentral:rRNA from 1 species